CAAUAGCGUAUAUUAAAGUUGUUGCAGUUAAAAAGCUCGUAGUUGGAUUUGUGGUUUGUCCCGCCCGCUGGGCCUUUUUGGGCCUCUGCGGCACGGGUCAUCCAUCCUUGGGUGGAAUCCGUGUGGCAUUAGGUUGUCGCGCGGGGGAUGCCCAUCUUUUACUGUGAAAAAAUUAGAGUGUUCAAAGCAGUCUUAUGACGUUGAAUAUAUUAGCAUGGAAUAAUGAUAUAGGACCUUGGUACUAUUUUGUUGGUUUGCGCACUGAGGUAAUGAUUAACAGGGACAGUUGGGGGUAUUCGUAUUCCAUUGUAAGAGGUGAAAUUCUUGGAUUUUUGGAAGACGAACUACUGCGAAAGCAUUUACCAAGGAUGUUUUCAUUAA
rnacentral:rRNA from 1 species